UACGUAGGGCGCAAGCGUUAUCCGGAAUUAUUGGGCGUAAAGAGCUCGUAGGCGGUUUGUCGCGUCUGCCGUGAAAGUCCGGGGCUCAACUCCGGAUCUGCGGUGGGUACGGGCAGACUAGAGUGAUGUAGGGGAGACUGGAAUUCCUGGUGUAGCGGUGAAAUGCGCAGAUAUCAGGAAGAACACCCGUGGCGAAAGCGGCUCUCUGGGCCGGUACUGACACUGAGGAGCGAAAGCGUGGGUAGCAAACAGG
rnacentral:rRNA from 1 species